rnacentral:rRNA from 1 species
GAUGAACGCUGGCGGCGUGCUUAACACAUGCAAGUCGAACGAUGAAGCCCAGCUUGCCGGGUGGAUUAGUGGCGAACGGGUGAGUAACACGUGAGUAACCUGCCCUUAACUCUGGGAUAAGCCUGGGAAACUGGGUCUAAUACCGGAUAGGAGCGUCCACCGCAUGGCGGGUGUUGGAAAGAUUUAUCGGUUUUGGAUGGACUCGCGGCCUAUCAGCUUGUUGGUGAGGUAAUGGCUCACCAAGGCGACGACGGGUAGCCGGCCUGAGAGGGUGACCGGCCACACUGGGACUGAGACACGGCCCAGACUCCUACGGGAGGCGGCAGUGGGGAAUAUUGCACAAUGGGCGCAAGCCUGAUGCAGCGACGCCGCGUGAGGGAUGACGGCCUUCGGGUUGUAAACCUCUUUCAGUAGGGAAGAAGCGAAAGUGACGGUACCUGCAGAAGAAGCACCGGCUAACUACGUG